rnacentral:rRNA from 1 species
UCUUUAAAAGCUCAUUGGAGAUUAUGGGGCCGUGUAACCAGUGAUAAGGCAAGCACGUUGCCUUGUUGUCUAAGACGCAAGGCGCGUCGCCCAUCGCUUGCAAAAAAGAUUUCUUGUGCGUUGACGUUGUUCGGGGCUUCAGUCCCGUCUCGUGCCCGCGCAUGCCUUUUUUGACUCACGGUCUCCAGGAAUGAAGGGGGGUAGUUCGGGGGGGACGUAUUGGUCCGUUAGAGGUGAAAUACUUAGACCGCACCAAGACGAACUACAGCGAGGGCAUUCUCCAAGGAUACCUUCUUCAAUCAAGAACCAAAGUGUGGGGAUCGAAGAU